GAGGGAAGAGCCCAAGAUUGAAAGCUGGCGUCUUCGGCGUCCGCAUUGUAAUCUCAAGAAGUGUUUUCCGCUUCGGACCAUGCCUAAGUCCCUUGGAAAAGGGCAUCAUAGAGGGUGAUAAUCCCGUACAUGGCAUGGAGCGCCCGAAGCUUUGUGAUACGCUUUCUAAGAGUCGAGUUGUUUGGGAAUGCAGCUCAAAAUGGGUGGUAAAUGCCAUCUAAGGCUAAAUAUUGGGGAGAGACCGAUAGCGAACAAGUACAGUGAUGGAAAGAUGAAAAGAACUUUGAAAAGAGAGUUAAACAGUACGUGAAAUUGCCAAAAGGGAAGGGUAGGAGGUCAGAGAUGCGGCCUGGGAUUCAGCCUUGCUUUUGCUUGGUGUUUUUCCCAGAUUGCAGGCCAACGUCGGUUUUGGGCACUGGAGAAGGGUAGGAGGAACGUGGCACCUCUCGGGGUGUGUUAUAGCCUCCUACUGGAUACAGCGACCGAGACCGAGGACAGCAGCGUACUCGCAAGAGCGGGCCUUCGGGCACCUUUACGCUUAGGGCGUUGGCAUAAUGGCCCUCUACCACCCGUCUU
rnacentral:rRNA from 1 species